AGGGCUAUAGUUCAAUAGUAGAACAUCUGCUUUGCAGGCAGAAGGUCCUAGGUUCAAUCCCCAGUAUCUCAA